CUUACAUUGGGCAGUAUGAAGAACAAAAUGAAUCAUUUUAUUAAAAUUGAUAGCUCCACAUAAUAGAGGAAAUGACUGUGUCUUCCUUGAGUCUAUGUUAUAAUCAGGGAUUAAACAUUAAUGUUUAGUCUUUUUUAUUUUGAACAACAGUUUCUAUAUCGUUAGGGUAUAAAUAUUUAGCUCCUUAGGUAGCUGAACUUAGAAAGCUGGGUGCUUUUAAUGGUCAGAUUCCGUUAUAAACCGAUGAGAGGCCUUUCUACAGUUCUUUGAGCUUUGAUUUUUUUUUUUUUUUGGAGACAGGGUCUCGCUAUGUCAUUCAGGCUGGAGUGCAGUGAUAUGAACACAGCCCACCAAAGACUACCUCCUGGUCUCAGGUGAUUCUCUCACCUCAGCUUCCAGUGUAACUGGGACUAUAGGCAUGCACCAUCAUGCCUGGCUAUUUUUUAUUUAUUUAUUUUUUUGAGAUGGAGUCUUGCUCUGUUGCCCAGGCUGGAGCGCAGUUGCAGUGAGCCUAGACUGCACCACAGCACUAUAGCCUGUGCAGCAAGAGCAAAACUCUGUCUCAGAAAAAAAAAAAAUUUAACCGUUGUCUGAAAUGUAGGCUAAAUAGAAAUAAGUCACAGCAAUAAUUUGACUUUGAGAAUUUGUGUGUAUUGACAUUCAUCUUAGGUCCUUUUAAUGUUGCUAUAAUAAUACCUUAGACUGGGUAAUUUAUAAAGUAAAAAGGUUUAUUUAGCUCAUGGUUCUUCAGGCUAGGAAGUACAGGAAGCAUGCUGCCAGCGUCUCUCCGUUUCUGCUGAGGGCUUUGCAUUUUGUGUCAUAACAUAACGGGGAAGGUGAAAGAAGACAUGGAGGUGUUCAAAGAGUCAAAGCGAGGGGGCAUCCUGGCUUCAUAAUAGCCUACUCCCUUGGGAGCAAUUCUGUGAGAACUAAUUCAGUCUAGAGAGCGCUAGAACUCUUUCAGUACAAUGGUACCAAGCCAUUCAUGAUGGAUAUGCCUGCAUGACCCAAACACUUCUUACUAGGCCACCUCCCAAUGUGGCCACAUUGGGGAUCAAAUUUAAGACAUGAGUUUUGGUGGGAACGGACUCAAGCCCUAGCACAUUUUAGCCGUGUACUUGACCUGGACUGUUUCUGGAGAGCUAUAGUCAUGAGAAUGUAUAAUAUACCUUUAAUUUCCUGCAGUGAGUACAUAGACUGAGUAUGCCUAAAAUAUGUUUAAUAUGCAAAGUUCAAAUUAAAAACAGCACAAUUUUUUAAUUUUUUUCAGUUCUGGAUCUAUAGAAGCCCAGAUUUAUUCUCAUUUGCUACAGCAGAUUCCCUUCAAAUAACAUGCACUGACAAGGUGACCAGUGAGUGACCCAAUGUCUGGUUGGGAAAUCUCUCUCUGAACUUCUUGCUGUUGAACCUAAAAUAUGGAUGUAAAUUGGAUUACAACUGGUUUGGCAUUGAAAAAAAAUAUACACAACAAACAAUUAUAACUUCUUUCUAUGGCAGUUUUUACUGGGUGUCUAAUAUACUCUUUACUAUCUCAAGUGGAAGUCCAAACAAAUUUCAUUUUUGCAGUAAAAAGUCUUUAUUUCCAAAAUGAUUUGUUAGCCAGAAAAACUAUAAACCACCUAACAAGACUUUGGUAAGAAAGAGACUUGAUGUUCCUUAUAAAUUCCCCAUUACAAACAAAAAAUAACAAUGCAACAAGAGUCGUGUUAUCCAUUCUUAGUCAUUAACCUGGUUUUAAGUAAGUCUCUAGAAUCAGGAUUUUAAAUGUACCCAACUGUGACCAAAUAACAUGAGACGUUAGGGUGGCUUGUCCUUGGAUUAGGAAUCACUGUCUUAGGAACUUUAUCAUGGGUUGAGAGUUUUCUAGAUAGCUUAGAACAAUGUUGCAAAAGUGGGCAGUUCUAUAUGAAGAGGAGUUUUUUUUUUUUUUUUUUUUUUUCCUCAAGUAGGAAAUUAAAUCUCAUGUUUCUUUAUCUUGUGCUCCUUUUUUUUUGGAAGAAAGCAAUUCAUUUAAGGAUUUAAAAAAUGUUGGAGACAAAGGUGGUAGUUCAGAGAUGAUGUAAUAACGGUCCCUCCAAGAACAAGGGAGGAAAAGCCAUGUCUUUUACUGAAAAUGAUGGAAGUGGAGGACAAUAUAAAAAAGACUUAACCUUCAGUACACUUACUUAGCUUAAAAACAUAAAAGACCCAGUGAGUUUUUACUGAACAGUCUUUCUUGUGUUAAAAUACAUAUUCAGGGUUAUAGUAUGUUGUAUUUGGAAAUAUCCUGAUGUGUUUAAUACAAAUUCUUAGUGUAUUCAGAGCAUUAUAUGUGUCUCACCAAUGGCACACAUUUGGAUUAAGCAGUAAGAAGGCCUAUAAAAGAAACAGUUUUCAACAAUAAAUGCAGGAACAAAAACUGCUGAUGGACCCAACUAAAAAAAUGUCCUUUUAUACUAUCCCUAGGUGGUCAGGUUCCCUGAAUCUGGUGUGCCUAUAAUUGCUGGGAAGGCAGUGUAAACCCGUGGCCAUUCCUGUGCAUGUCUGGGAGGACUGCCACGGUGGUGUGGAGCACUAACACAGGUUUGGCUUUCCGCUAGAAUUGCUUGCUCAGCUUAAUCCCAUAAUAAUAUUCCUUUCUCUUAGAUUUACUUUCUGUCUUGAUAACUUUUUCUCUCUACAUAUAAAAUUUUAUGACUAAAAUAACUAAAGAAGUACAGAGAUAACUUUUGUUGAAGGAAUGAUUUGGGAGGCUUUGGGCAGACUUAGCAAAAUGUUAGUAUAACAAAAAUGUUUCCUUACUAAAAACUGAUUUGCAAACUUGAAAGUCUAGAUGUGUGUAGGAAGAUUUUAAAAUUCAGGUAUGGGCCUGCUAAAGAGACCAAUUUUGCUGCCUUGGUCUUGGUUCCAAUCAGUGUUUAGUACCAAAAAGUAAAGAAGGCUGGCUUCCUAGAAGAAUUGUGCAUACUCCCCCCAACCCCCAAAAGCAAGGGAAAAAUACACUCUAAAUUUACUUAUCCUUUAUCUCAGGUAUAAAAACUUGUUACCUUACAUUUAAAUAAAGCAGCGAUAUUUUUUUUUUGUUGUUUCCGAGGGGCAUCGGGAGCCAAUAUCAGGGGUGAGAUAAAUGUAUUCCGAAUUUCUCAAUGAAAGAACAAAAGCCACCCAACAUGAAUGCUCCUUUUCAAGUCUACCAGCUCUGUUUUCCUCAGGAACUACUGUUGAUUGAGGAGACUUGAAAAGAGACCUAAAGUUCCACUAAGAAGACAUGGGCAAACAGCGUUUUCAGUGAACAGGCCAAAGAUGAGAAUGAAGGGAAUAUGCUCCCUUCAUCUGAUUGAGAAUGUUUCCUACCAGCUGCACCCUGGGACUCAGGCAUAGAGUCACUUCCAGACAUGGUUGCCUCUCCAUGUGGAGGAGGUCAAGGUCUCUGUUCUGCCUGGCCAGGUGGAAGCUCCAGAAGGACAUGGACAUGUUUCAGUUUAGUACAAGGUGGCUGACACUACUCACUUCUGUGCAGGAAGAGGGCUGGCUGGAGAUGAGGGUGCUCCACUCAGCCUGUACCCAUCAAGAAGUAUUCAGAAAGGAUGUCCCUGGCAUCCACAAGACUACUGGGCGAACCACACUGCAAAAA